rnacentral:lncRNA from 1 species
GUUUGGAAAAGCAGACAAUUCUUUGAUAUUUAGAUAAUAGGAGAAGAACCUCAACUAAAGCCCUAAUAUGGCAGCUCAUCACCUUUUGGAAAGGACUGGAUUCUCAGAGAUUGUGUCUGAACAGCACAAGAGUUGACUGGUUCUAUUAAGUGGUUCUCCCUUCCAACUAUCUACAAAACCCUGCCAGCCUCAUGCUGCUGUUCCUUUAUUUCUUUAUGAAAACCUGUCCUCAAGACUCUCCAUUGAUAGAAACUCGGAGUGUUCUCCUUUCCAAGGGCAUUUUUCGUUUAAGGGCUGUCAAAACUCUAAGCAAAAGUGCCUCCAGGCAUUCAUGUGAACAACUCCUGCAUGUAUGAAACAUAUUUUUCAUUUCCAUCUAUCAAAAUCCUCUUCCUUCUUCAAGGCCAGGGUUUCCAAGACUAAAGAAUGCAUCAGUGAUUGUCCAGCUGCUCCAUUCUGUGAGAUUGCUCUUGAGAAAGCAGAGAUUAUAUUUUGCUCAAAUCCUGUUGUGUAUGAGGUUUACAAAGUGCUUCCCCCCCAUAACCAGACAGUGGGAUGACCUCCAUUAACUGAUGUGGAAACUGAGUCACAGAAAAAAGAAGUAAUUUACCAUGGAUCAGAGUAUUAAAUGGCUGGGUAUAUAACAGACCACAGGGUCAUAAGAUCAUAGACAGAGGACUCAGGGGGUCCUAGAAAUUGCACAGCUCAAGCCCCUCAUCUUGUAGGAGAAGGAACUAAAUCCAGAGGAAUUCUUCUUCACCCAAAGUCACACAGCUUUCCAUCUGACAAGAGGAGGGCAGCGGUGUCUCUGUGGAAUUGUCGGAGUGCUACGCAGGCCAGCCAAGCAGGGGCAAAAGAGACUUUGUAAUGGAGCUUAGCACUUCUAGUCCUCGGCCCCCAUCUCUCCAAACACCUGUGGGUGCAGCCACCCAAGGGAGGUAUUCUCUCUCUUUUCUUUCCAUUGAUGCCUUUGGGGAUGCCGCUGCCAAGUCGCUGCCUCCAGGAGGUCCCAUCAUCAAGUCCUUCCCCUGCUCUCUUCAAUUCAAUUGAACAAACAUUUAAGUGCUUGAUAUAUGUGAAGCAUUGUGCUACAUUCUGAGAGGGCAAAGCAACCUCCCCUCACAAAACAGCAACUAGCCUUUGUCCUUACAAAACUUUUAUUUUACUGGGGGGGGGGGAAGUGGAGAACAAUAUGUAAACGGAUAAAUAAAUGCAAGAUAAUUUGAAGGAGAUAGCUCUAAGAAAGUCAGUGAAUUGGAGGAAGAAAAGCUUCCUGGAUGAAGAAGCUGAGUCUUGAAGGAAAAUGAGGAUUUUUAAGAGGUGAGAAGGGAAUGCACUUUUAGGCACGGGGGUAUAGGGGUAGGAGGUGGUAAUAGCCUAUUCAGGGAAUAGCUUGAAGACUAAUUUGGGUGGAAUAAAGAGGGUCCAUGGAGAUCAAUAUGAAACCAGUCUAGAAGGGAAAAUUAAAGCCAGAUUGUCAAAGGCUUUAAAUACUAGGCUGAUGAAUGUGUAUUUAUUCUAAUGGCAAUAGGGGAGAUUUUUGAGCUUGGGAGUAACCUCAUAAGCCCUGUACCUUAGUAAUGUUAUUUUGGUAGUUGUACAGAGAAGAAGUUAGAGAGGGGAAGAGACUAGAAUCAUGGAGAGCAAUUAUGAGCCUGUUACAGUAGUUUACUUAUGUGAUUAUCUAUGAUAAUCACUUUCAGUAUCAAAUGAGAUAAUAUUUGUAAAACACUUAGCACAAUGCUUGAUAUGUAAGAGGCAUUUAAUAAAUGUUUACUUCUUAGUCCCCAUAGUAGUGGCUAUGUUAAGGAGAGACAGGGGUGAUAGAAGAAAUAUUGUGGAAGUAGAAUCAGUAGGAUUUAGCAGCUGGUGAUGAGGGAAAAUGAAGAGUUGAAAAUGACAUCAAGGUUAAGAAACUGGGUGUCUGAAAGGCUAGUGGAGCCUUCAAGAGAACUGGGGAUAUACGGAAGAGGGACAGGAUUAAGGGUGAAGACAGUUCAGUUUAGUACAAGGUAAGGUUGAGAUAUCAAAGGCACAUCCAGGUGGAGCUAGCCAUCAAGCAGUUGACAACAAGGGAUUAAAAUUCAGAGUUGAGAUUAUUAUUAGUUACAAAAAUUUGAUAGUUUUUACUCUUAUGAAAAGUAUGAGAUCAUCAAUAGAGCAUAAUUAGGAAAGAGAAGAGGGCUCAUCACAGAGCCUUGGGGAACAUUUGGGAGCAAGAGAUGAAUGAUGACUCAGUAAAAGGAGACUAAGCAGACAGAUAGGAGAACCAGCACAGAGCAAUGUUGGUGAAGCCAGAGGAAGAGAGAAUAUCCAGAAAGAGGAGAUGGCCAAAAGUCUCAAAGGUCAGUUAAGAUCCUUGGUCAUGUUGUUGAGAAGAGAAGAGUGGUAGAGGUAGAAACAAAGGGUGGAGAAGUGUGGGAAUGAAGGAGGAGAGAUAGUUUGGCUGGGAAAGGGAAAAAAAUAGGAUAGUUACUUAACUGUCCUGGAUCUAUCUCCAACUUCUGACACUAUUCAUUGCCCCUCCUCUUGGACUCUUCCCUAUUUGUUUUUGGUGACCUUGUUCUCUCCUGGAUCUUCUGAGUUCUCUUCAGUCUCCUUCGCUGAAUUAUCUUCCAACUUUUGUCCCUUAGCAUUGGAGUUUCCCAGGCUUCUGCUUUCUCUCCUUUGAUGCCCCAUUAUGCUUUUUCUUUCUGCCUUCUGUUCCUCUCUCUCUUUUCAUCCUCUUUCCUGGGGACUUCAUCUGGUCCCAUGGGUUCAAUGACCAUUUCUGUGACAGGAUUUGAGGGAGAAUGGCAGAAUAAGUGUUGAGGAAGGGGGAUAUUAGGAGACAUGGGAAGGUAGGAGGCUAUUCAUUAAUCUUGUUGAUAAACUAGGACUAGGAAAGGCAGAAGCACUCAUUGAGAAUGUACCAUGUGGCAAGCACUGUGCUAAGCAUUUCACAAGCAUUAUCUUAUUUGAUCCUCAUAACAAUCCUGGGAGCUAGGUAUUGUUAUCUCAGUUUUACAGCUGAGGAUCCUGAGCUAAACAGAGGUUAAGUGACUUGGUUCAUGGUGGUGUAGUUCUGUCUGGGGCCCACAUUUGAACUCAGAUCUUUCUGAUUCCAGGCCUAGUGCUCUAGCCACUGUAUCAUGAAGCUGCCUCCUAUUUGAUGAAAAAAUACUGUCGGGAAAACUGUAAAGCAGUGUUGUAGAAAUUAGGUUUAAACCAACAUCUGAAUCAUGUUCUAUAAUACAUUCUACAUGAUAUGUGACCUUAAUAUUAAAGAUCAUACUAUAAAAAAUGAGAAGAAAAUCAGAUCAUAUAACUCACAGUUAUGGGAUGGAAAAAUGGGAAGCUAUAAGCAGAAGAAUUUCAGAAUUCCAG